AGAAGACCCUAUUUUGUUUGUCGAUUAAUUAUGCUGCCCCCCAAGAAAUGAUUGAGCACGUCUAAAAAUAAGUCGGAUAUCAGGGAGAAAUCCCAUAAAUUUUUGGGUUACCCGACGCAAUUACAACAAAAGUGGAUGCCACAUGCCCACGCUUCAAAAGCGCAACAACAAGAGCGAUAAAUAAAAACAACGAUCGACAACAAACAAACAACGAAUAACGAACAACAAAGUGAAAAGUGCGUUGUACAUAAACGAAAUCGAAACGAAACGAAUAAUAAAUGAGAGGAAGAAGGAACGACAAUACUUUAUAUAGUUGAAUGACUGAACCAACCCGUCAACCACACCAACGACGAACAAAUUAACACACAAAAUACUUAUGCGCAAUAACAACAACAAUACCAAUACCAAUACCAACACCAACAACAACAACAACUUGCCCUCUUCACCAACAAAAUUAUCUUAAAAACACCAAACAAGCUGAAAGAAAAAGGAAAUAUGGAAAACACAAGCCAACAAAAAAUCUGAAAAUAAAAAUACAUU
ensembl:ncRNA lncRNA:CR45169 long non-coding RNA:CR45169